UACGGUGAGCCUGUCAUUAUUCAGAGAGGCAUGAUCCUCAUCUUUGAGAAGAAUCAUGAUGGGCUCCUCGGUGU
rnacentral:pre_miRNA from 1 species